UUUUUCAUAACUGAUUAGUGCACAGAUUAAUAGAGAUAUUUUCCUUGUGUACUGUGUGUGUGUGAGUGUGUGUGUGAGUGUGUGUGUGCGCGUUGGGGGGGGCAUGAAGGAUUUCUGCAUAAAACAAAAAUGGCUGCUCUUUCUAACUCCCCCCCCUAUAAAAAAAUAUUUGAGGGGGGGCAUUAAUCAGUACUCAUGCUCAGUCUGACAUCAGCAUAAAUUGUUAAAGGUUAACUAGUUAGAUACUAGUCCAACUAGAUUUAAAUAUUUUUCUUUUCUUUACUAGUCUCUUCCUCCCCACCUCCCUUCUCUUAAAGAAAAGCUUUUUUUUUUUUUCUGAAUACUUCAGAAGGGAGUGGUUUGAUGUGAAGGUUUUUUUUUUUCCCCUUCAGGCAUUGAAAAGGAAAAGAUGAAAUAUAUGUUUAUAUAUAACUCUUUCUACAUACCUCACUGAAGUCAAAACGCAUUUAAUUGUUAUAUUUCCCUUUCUCCAUGAUCUCCGACACUGGUAAAGUGGAAGAAACUGAGGUAUGGUGAAACAGAAAAGUCUCUGGGACUGAGAAAAAGACAGAGGAGCCGGAUCACCCGAGGAGAGCUCCCUGGAAACAGUGGCACUGAGACACUGAGACACUGAGCUUGCGGAUUGGAUUUCCCUCCUCCCUCCGACAGUCACCUAACGCGACUACAGGUGAGAGGAUUUGCGACCUGGGCUACGAACAGCACCUUCCCCUGAGGGAGCUGAGGGCUGCUGGAGCUUCUCCUGCUCCCAACAUCUGGCCCCAUUUCCAGGCUCUGUCCUGCUUCCUGUAAACAAGCCCGACCCGGGAACGUAGGAAACGAACGAGGUUCUGUUGGGCCCCGUUCUCCCCGUGGAGGCACAAACACUGUUGUUGGGUUGGAAACCAAAUGUUCGUCACAGAUACGGUCUACCAGUUCUCUAAUCGUGACAGCUGUUACCUGGAUGCUGAGGAAUGCCAAAUCUCAGGAAAUCCCGCAGGAAACAGGCGUGACGAAAUUGUGGCUGGGACGAGGGAAGGAGAAGAAAAGGAAAAUUCGGGGGUGGCCGUCCAAAGGGCCUUGGGCGCUGCCGGGCGCUCUCCCGUACUCCAGCUCAUUCGGUCUUCCCAACAACACUGUAAGGAGCUUCUGUUCAGAGUGACCGUGUCCUGGUUUAUGCCUGUUGUUCUUCGGGAACCCUUAUGUCUGUUAUUCAUGGCUGACAGCUAAACAAAUGGGGUCUUAAGAAAGGAGAGUAUUCGGCGUGUGGUUCCAGAGCCUUCUGCAGCUGGAUUUCCUCUGUGACCGUCCGGUUGUGUCUCAUGAACAGCAGCUUGACUUCUCUGAUGUUUGACCAUUUCGCUGUUGGCUCCGUCCGGGGACAGCCAAGUCCUGGUCUUGACCUCGUUAGAGGGCCUCACACGGUUUACCACCCCCUCCUCUCAGAUACUGUCCUUGGCUUCCGCGGCACCAUUUUCUCCGAUCACUCUCUCCGCUCCCGCUCUUCUCCAUGCUCGAGGAGGGGCUCGUCCCCGCAGAUGGCUGCAGUGACUGUUGAGAGCCCCACGCCUCACCCCCGGCCCGAGCGCACUCCAGGACCCUGUGCCGUGCACGGAGCCAGUAAGAUGCGACCGUCUGUAUUUGUGUGCCCCAAAGUGACUUCACGGCCAGCUCACAACACCUCACCUUCCGUCCCCCAUCAGAGGCCCCUUCUCCCCAGCGGACUCUUCAUCCUCUCAGUCCCCCCUCCAGGGCCAGACAAUGGGGUGUCAUCCUCGUCUCCUCCCUCUGCCCCAGACCUGCCCCCAGGAAAUUACGGAGCUCGGGAUUCUGCCUUCGCUUCAGUCCAUCUACUCUGACCUCCGCGGCCCCUAACUUAGUCCUGGCCGCCUCUAUCCCUCCCCUGGACCCAUCCUCCAUUUUUCUCCCCUCCCUCUCUCUACUCCAGUCCCUUCUCUUGACAUUGUAGACAAGUCACCUCUUUACAAUGCAAAUCCGACUGCGCCAUUGUCCCUAGAAAACCCUUAACCCUGAAUUGUACACUUUGAAAGGGUGAAUUUUAUAGUGUGUGACUUAUAUCUCAACAAACAACAGCCAGGUUUAGGAAGCUUCAGCUGACCUGUUCUGGCAUCAACACCCCUCAUUGCCCACCCUCCCCGGCCUCCAUCUCUUAGCUUUGCCUUCUGCUCCCCAGUUCUCCACUCUUACCCCGAAACUCUGGGCUGUCUGUGCUGUUUAUUCUUCGCAGGAAGCCUUCCGUCCUCCCCUUGCUCCUCCCUGGUCUCAGGGUCCUGCCCUUCGGGUCUCAGGUGGAGCCGAAGCUUCUCCCAAAAGCCUUCACUGAUCUCCCCAGAUGGGGGUUGGGUGUUCCCGAGGCGCCUCAUACUUAGCCUUUUUGUGGCAUUCAUCUCCUCUUUGUUCCUUUCAUGGAUAUUGAGUGACUGUUCUGGGCUGAGCCUGAGGGAGGGAGGUACUGGGCUGUCUGCCCUCCUGGACCCUCGAGUCUAAGAAGGGAGGAAGGUGAACACUAAACUGAAUUACACCAAAACUUUCAUUGCAUUGAGAGGGAGAGAAGGAAUAUUUGACAUGGUUGGAGGGGUCCGGGAAGACUCACCGGAGGAGGUGACACUAAGCAGAGCCUCUAAGGGGCAGGAGCUGGCCAAGCGAGGAGUCGGGGGUGGAGCGUUCGGUGCAGGGGACAGCGGGUGACAAGGCCGUGCCAGAGGGAGCCUGGGGGGUUUCGGAAGUAAGAUCUCACGUCCAGCACGGGUUUACUACAAUGUGACUCUGACCCCCGUCCGUCCGAGCAGGAGGCCAAUUUUCCAACCCCCGGAUUGGAGGCUGGCUUCCUCCUGCUUGUCCAGAGCUACGGUCAUCCCGCGGCCACACUGCCUCCGUGGGGGGCCACACGGAGGGGUGCCCAUGGCCAGCAGCACUCAGGGCGGUGUCACUGAGCCCCUCUGCAACAAGUGGGUCCUGCAGCUCGGGGCAGUCCAUGCGGCUGGCUGGACUCCUCUCGGAACCCUGCCCACAUCCCAGGUCCAUUAGCAAAAUAAAGAUGCGAGUUGUUUGAAGGCUCCUGAGUCUUGGGCUGGCUUUGAUCAGCAGCGACAGGCAUCCUAUGUGUGUCCCCAUAGCGGGUGGCAGGUGGCAGGUGGCGCAGCUCCGGGUGAAGUGGGCGCCCCACGGCCGGGUUGGUUUGGAGUCCGUCUCGGCCGCACACUACGUAGUUGCGUGACCUUUGGCAAGUCCCUUCAUCUCUCUCUGCCUCCGUGCCCUUCGUUUGCCAGUGUCCAUACAAACAGUACUUCGGUUUGUCGCGACGGCGGCCGCAUAAGUGAUGGACGCAGGUGAACGCAGGUCCCCAGGCGAUGCGGACCGGCCCGCGGCAUCGCCCCGGCCGGCCUCGGAGCGUCUGACCGCCACUCUCUCGAGCGGCUGUGUUUGUUCGUUUUUAUAGCAGUUGCGUGUGCGUGCUUGUGCGUGUGUGCGUGCUUGUGCGUGUGUGCGUGUGCGCGCAUACACGGCGUGCAGCUCUCAGUGCCAUCUGCAGCGAUCCUGUCUUUGCGCUUAUAGUGUCUCGCUCCAGACUGUAGUCCCAGCGCCGGGCCGUCACGUCUGUGUCCGCAGGACCCGAAACCGGCCCGCGCACAAGGCGUCUGAUCACUUUCUGUGGUUAACGAGUGGACGAGCCGCGCUUGCGCGGGACUCGCGGAAGCCAUUGCUGGUCCCGACCCGGUCUCCGGACGAUCCCUCUGCAGCAGCAGUCCCUGCGGUUGUUGUGGGCGUCCAUAGAAAAUACACGGUCCCACAUCGCUCGCAGCCAAGGGUCCUGUGUCACCUGCGUCCGAUCACUGAGAUGUGCUCAGAGAUCUGCGAAGGACGCUGGGAAAAUGCCUGCUCGGAUCCAGGCCCUGCCCUUCCCCCCUCCCCUCUUCCCCCUUCCUGCCCCCGUGCAGGCCAGAAGUAGAGCGGCCAGACAGGCGACAAACGUGAGGCCCACAGCUGCCGGGGACACUGAUGGCCUGCCCCGUGGAAUGACGGCACCAGACUGUCAAAUUUGGUAAAAAUGAACUUUUGGUAGUUAGGCCUCAGCCCCCAGCCUUCUGUUCUUUGCAGCCAGAUCCGUUCUCAGUGACCCACUGGGCGGAGGAAGGUCUGCCCGGAGGGGCUGUCCGGUGAGGGCAGGGGGACAUUUCGUCUUCCUCACUGCCCCAGAAGAGGGCUGGCGGAAGUCGCCAGCACAGAUGUGACUGACCACCUCUCCGCAGCUCUCUUCCAACAGUCAGCGUGCGCCAGCAGCCAGGCCUUCCCGUUCUGCGUCUGUGUGGCCCCGUUGUUCCAACACUUCACAGAGCCUGGCCUACGGGCCGCCCAUUCCUGGAUAAUAAAUACAAGUACGCAUUGCCCUCCACACCAGGCGUCCUGUGGCUGCCGCAGAUACAGAGAUGACCGAGUCAAGUGGCGGAGGCCGUCCCGACAGCAGCAGCGCCCGGGCUGUACGGGCUGCGCGCGUCAACCUUAUCCCGCCGCCGCCGAUGACUGGGUGUUGGGGUCACACGUAAAUGCGAGACCCCCUGACUCUGCUCCAGCGCACAUCCAGAUCGGAAUCCGGGACAGUGCUCUGCGCUGUCGCUGGAAACACACCCACACCUGUAAUCAGAGCCCCUACCUGUGCGACCGCAUGGGUCUUAUUCCUCAAACUGGACCCCUUUCCUGCUUGUGGACAAAAUGUAGACCAGAAUGUAGCCUAAU